UGACUCUUAAGUUUUCUCUCAAAAUUUUCUCAAUCUCUCCUUGUGACGGACUGCCUUAAAGGCUGAUUCCCUUGGGAAUUUUUAUUCACAAGUCUCUCAUCUUUCAUCUUCCUUGAACUAAAUCCUAAGUGUUGGGGUAUUAGUUUGGAGCUAAGGAGGUCACACCCAAAGUUGUUUCCACAAAGAUAAAAGGCUUAAUGAGGGAUUCAAAGUGCUAGGGUGUGCCAAAAUUCAAUCCAAAGACUACUAGAGAUUUUGUUGUAGCAAAGGAAAUUUUGCUAGAGCAUUUUCAUCAUGAUUCAAGUGGGAAAUUUCAGCAUAUGAAGAAGAGACACUUAGCAUGUCAUUAAUUGAGUUGGCAAAGAGUGAAGAGGUGGCUAAAAUCAGAGGCAAUGAGUAGCAUUUUGGAGAAUUUUCUACAAGAGAAAAAAAAGCUUUGGGACAAAAAUAGAGACAAAUGUUGUGGGCCUUCUAAUUAGGAAAAUAUUUGCACCCUAGCAUCAUUAAAAAGAAGGCAGCCACCAUUUUAGAGAGUAUCCUAGAGCUACCAUUGGAGAAAGAGGAAAAAGGGAAAUGAAGAAGAAGAAAUUCCAAGUUUGAAGAGGAGAAUCCAAGGAAGAAAAGGAAGAGGAGGAAGACAAGAUUAUUGAUUCAUCAUCUUUGACUUGCUUUCUCCUCUUUAAUCUCAUUUAAGUUCAUAAUUUCUUUAGCUUUUUCUAUUUAAAUAUCCAUGGGCUGUUUUAAUUUUGGAUUUGUGCUCUUGAAUUUAGCCAUGAACUAGAUAUUUUGAGGCUUGGAUUAUUAAUGAACUCUGUCUAUGUCUUAAUUCUAAUUUUAUAGCACUCUAUUUUAGCAAAAAUAAACAUUGUUCAUUCAAGUGUG